CACCAGGCUAGCGCCAGGCUCGCCCGCUCUUGGCUUGGCACACAGGAAUAAUAAAAAAUCCGGUGAGACACCGCGAGGUCCAUUGAAUGUGGCCACCUGUGUCUUAUUGAACCUUGUCAUGAAGAGGAGGAGAGGAGAGAGUCCUCGGAGUGAGUGAGCGGAGGAGCCUCCGGUCGGUCGGGUGUUGCUGUGCUGUUCUAACGAGGGAGAGAGAAAAAGCCAGCGAUGAAAGGAACCGGGUGGCUGCGUUAGGAAAAGUACCCCUCACAUACUCAUUCCGCAGAAAAGACGGGAACCCUGCAGCAGCAGCCAUAUACUGUAUGUGGAUCCCGCAGGAGAAAAAGAGAGGAAGAGAGAACCUGCUUAGAAUUUCACCUCCGGAUUCGGAAUGUUUCGGAAUGUUUCGGAAUCGCCUCUACUGUGGAAUAUCUGCCUCGACCGAUGGCACAGGACUUUUGGCCAAGCAGAGAACCCCAUGGUCAGACAGAUGGCCCUAGCAGGCACUCCGCAGCAGGCACUAGCCUCGUCAGAUGGCCAGGGGCUGGGGCACCGUCAAACUGAAGGAGGCAGCCGGCAGGCAGAGGGAUGGACGUUUCAGAUCUGUUGCCUUGUCUUAAUGGACAAGAGGCCCUCUGGGUCACCAGGAAGAUGCAUGGGUAAUAGGGUUUGGGUGUUAGCAUGGUGGCUUAUGGGCAGUAGUGGGACUGUGACCUUUACUGAGUGCAUGUCUAUGUGCAUGCUUGUGUGCGUGCUUGUGAUGAGAAGCAGCUGGAGGGUAAAGCUCCCUCCUUUGGGUGAUCCCAGCUGCAUGCCCUGUCACUGCAAUGACUGAGGCCAUUGUUCUUCUACAAAGAUGAGGCUAGGGCAAGAUCAGCUAACUGGUUCGAGAUCAGCUAACUGGUUCGAGAUCAGCUAACUGGGGCUAGAUCAGCUAACUGGGGCUAAAUCAGCUAACUGGGGCUAGAUCAGCUAACUGGGGCUAAAUCAGCUAACUGUGGGUAGAUCAGCUAACUGGGGCUAAAUCAGCUAACUGGGGGUAGAUCAGCUAACUGGGGCUAGAUCAGCUAACUGGUUCGAGAUCAGCUAACUGGGGCUAGAUCACCUAACUGGGGCUAAAUCAGCUAACUGGGGCUAGAUCAGCUAACUGGGGCUAAAUCAGCUAACUGGGGGUAGAUCAGCUAACUGGGGCUAGAUCAGCUAACUGGUGCGAGAUCAGCUAACUGGGGAUAGAUCAGCUAACUGGGGCUAAAUCAGCUAACUUUGGUUAAUCCUACUUCCAUACAGGCCAUAUUAACUCUGGCUCUGGGUGUGAGGGUUAAGGAUUUGCUAUGCACUGGAUCGCACUUAUGUGAUUUUUUUAUCAUACUGUCAACAUACGUACAGCGUACAGCGGAAUAUCACUCCACAGACAGACACACAUUUACAGCACAACCAGGACGUCUCACAAGGCCCAUAUCAGCACCAGAGGUUAUAGGGAGGUCAGCCUGUCUGACUUUGACCAGAAUCCCCAUCCCCCACCCACCCAUCCAGCCAUGUGUAACUGGACCUGGCCUGGCAACCCCCUCCCUGUUCUCUGCUCUCCUCUCUCUGGGCUGGUAUAAAUAGAUGUCCAUGCCUGCUCCCUCCCUUAACCCAGGGGGCCAAGAAGCCAUUCUUCCCUUUUUAAACACUCUGACGUGUCUGUCUGGAUGCCUCCUGUCUGCACCUGGUUACCUCUCUGGACUACACACACACACACACCAAUAGACACACACACCCACACACGCACAUCACACACACAAGCACACAAGCAUACACACACAAACACGUACAGACACACACACACACAUCAGUCUACAGAAGCUCUGUGGCAGGGGGAGUGCAGACAGGGGUGUACGUUUGAGGAGAAGGGCUUUGGUUUUGACUGUAGAGACAUGUAAAUGUCCCACUGGUGACCUGGUCUACACACUGAGCUCUGUGUCCAGGCACUUCAUGCCCUCCAGCUCAGGUUUCCACACUAAACCGGUCAGUGAAAUUCAGCUUUAUUGUGCUAAUAUUGAUUGAUAUACUGCAUGAAGACUUUCAUUCCAAAACGCUAUAUAUCCAUUUUCAGAAAUGUUGAAAAAUCAGCUUUUAUUGUUUAAAGAAAUUGGUGUGUUUUUUCACUGUCUAAUCAUGGCAUAGGGUUGUUCAAUGACAGAUAUGUAUUUGUUUAAAAUCUAUCACUUGAUGUAUUCAUUUCAGAGAAACAAAUAAUCUAUAUUUUUGGCAAAACGCUUUAUAUCCGCCUCACUCUCAGAGAAAUAAGUAGUACUGCUGGGUUUUACACAGUAAAAUGUAACAAAUGAAAAGUAAUUAAAAACACUAAUAUGAGAUCUGGAUGUAAAACAUUUACAUUUCACAUUUUAGUCAAAUGUAAAUCCAGAGCAAUUAACAGUAAGUGCAUUCAUCUAGAUAGCUAGGUGAGACAACCACGUAUCACAGUCAAAUAUACAGGAUACCAACAUUCCAUUCCAGCUAUUCCAGCACAAUGGAUAUAUAGCGUUUUGCAAAAAUAAAUAAUAACAAUCAUGAAUUAAAAAUCGGAGAACAGUAAUAUUUUACACACACACGAAGAAACCCAUAAGUAAUCAUUUCUGAUGAAAAACACAAAUGUGAGAAAUUUGUGGAUUUAGCAUUUUGGAAAUAAACUUCAUAUUGACUGUAGCGUUAAUGCUCAUUCACCUUGUCUUGGCGUACUGAUAGCAUCAUGGUGGACAGAUAAUGGAGGAGGCAGGUCUGUGAGCCUCUGCCUGUAGACAGACAGAUAAUGGAGGAGGCAGGUCUGUGAGCCUCUGCCUGUAGACAGACAGCUAAUGGAGGAGGCAGGUCUGUGAGCCUCUGCCUGUAGACAGACAGCUAAUGGAGGAGGCAGGUCUGUGAGCCUCUGCCUGUAGACAGACAGCUAAUGGAGGAGGCAGGUCUGUGAGCCUCUGCCUGUAGACAGACAGAUAAUGGAGGAGGCAGCAGGAGACAGAGGAGGGAUAUCAGUUACAGAUGCUCCAGUUAGGAGUGAACCAGUGUUUGCUGAGGUUGCAUACUUUUAAAAAGACACACUCUGGUCCUCCCGAGUGACACAGCAGUCUAAGGCACUGCAUCGCAGACACAGGUUCAUUCCCGGGCUGUGCUACAACCGGCCGUGGCCGGGAGUCCCAUAGGACGGCAUAAAAUUGGCCCAGCAUCGUCCGGGUUAGGGGAGGGUUUGGCCGGUGGGGCUUUACUUGGCUCAUCGCACUCUAGUGCCUCCUUGUGGUGGGCCGGGUGCCUGCAGGCUGACCCCGGUCGCCAGUUGAACGGUGUUCCCUCCGACACAUUGGUGCAGCUGGCUUCCCGGGAUUAGCUAGCAGGUGUUAAGGAGCACGGUUAGGGGGGUCAUGUUUCGGGCGGACGCAUGACUCCACCUUCGCCUCUCCCGAGGCCGUUGGGGAGUUGCAGCGAAGAGACAAGAUUUAAAAUUGGGGAGAAAAAGGAGGGUAAAACAAAGAAAGAAAAAGACACUCUCUCUCUUCAGGUGACCCCGCUCCUGCUAAUCAGGGUGCUUUACAUUCUAUUGCAUGACCAUGUCUGGUGCUUUUGAGUAUGUGUGUGUGUGUGUGUAUGUGUGUGUGUGUGUGUGUGUGUGUGUGUGUGUGUGUGUGUGUGUGUGUGUGUGUGUGUGUGUGUGUGUGUGUGUGUGUGUGUGUGUGUGUGUGUGCGUUUGCACUUGAGUGUGUGUGCUUGUGUGUGUGUGCGUGCGUGCGUACCUGCAUGACCAUGUCUGGUGCUUUUGAGUGUGUGUGUGUGGGUGUGGGUGUGUGUAUGUGUGGGUGUGUUUGUGUGUGUGUGUGUGUGUGUGCGUCUCACUGGAUGUUGUCAGCUGGCCCAAGUUCAAAGCAAUUCCUUUACCAACACAACAUGGAUCAUAACUCAACAGCCAUCUGCCAUAUUAGAAGAUAGUGUCAAGUCAGAAAGCUAAGGUCAAGUGUAUUCACCUAGUGAACCCAGAACUCUCCUUUACAGUAAAGUGAAUGUGUGUGUGUUUCUGUGUGUGUGUGUGUGUGUGUGUGUGUGUGUGUGUCUAUGUGUGUGUGUGUAUGUGUACCUGCAUAAGUUCGUGAGUGUAUGCGUGUGCGUUUGUGCGUGCGUGCGUAUGUACCUAGAAGCCAAGCCUCCAGUGAUCCACAUCCCAGAACAGUAAGCAAGGCUAUGUUUAAUAAUGCAGGCGGCAAAAUACUCCUCACUACUGAGCAGACACAAUGAUCCUCUCAAGACAUACUGUGCUGUACUACUGUAGUACUGUACUGCUGUACUACUGUACUAUACUACUGUGCUUUGUACUGUACUGCUGUACUACUAUAUUGUACUACUGUACUACUGUACUAAUGUACUGUAGUGCUGUACUACUGUACUACUGUACUACUGUACUAUUAUACUGUACUGCUGUACUACUGUACUGUACCACUGUCCUACUGUACUCAUGUACUGUACUAUUGUACUGUACUGUACUGUACGACUGUACUGUACUGCUGUACUACUAUACUACUGCACUACUGUACUGUACUGCUGUACUACUGUACUGAACUGCUGUACUACUAUACUGCUGU
rnacentral:lncRNA from 1 species